AUGCAGUCGAGCGGGGUUUUCGGACCUAGCGGCGGACGGGUGAGUAAUGCGUAGGAAGCUGCCCGAUAGAGGGGGAUACCAGUUGGAAACGACUGUUAAUACCGCAUAAUGUCUACGGACCAAAGUGUGGGACCUUCGGGCCACAUGCUAUCGGAUGCGCCUACGUGGGAUUAGCUAUUUGGUGAGGUAAUGGCUCACCAAGGCGACGAUCUCUAGCUGGUUUGAGAGGAUGAUCAGCCACACUGGAACUGAGACACGGUCCAGACUCCUACGGGAGGCAGCAGUGGGGAAUAUUGGACAAUGGGCGCAAGCCUGAUCCAGCCAUGCCGCGUGUGUGAAGAAGGCCUUCGGGUUGUAAAGCACUUUCAGCGAGGAGGAAGGGUGGUGUGUUAAUAGCACAUCAUUUUGACGUUACUCGCAGAAGAAGCACCGGCUAACUCUGUGCCAGCAGCCGCGGUAAUACAGAGGGUGCAAGCGUUAAUCGGAAUUACUGGGCGUAAAGCGCACGUAGGCGGUUCGUUAAGUUGGAUGUGAAAGCCCCGGGCUCAACCUGGGAAUUGCAUUCAAAACUGGCCAACUAGAGUAUGUGAG
rnacentral:rRNA from 1 species